GUAGGUGGCAAGCGUUGUCCGGAAUUAUUGGGCGUAAAGCGCGCGCAGGCGGUUCUUUAAGUCUGAUGUGAAAGCCCACGGCUCAACCGUGGAGGGUCAUUGGAAACUGGAGAACUUGAGUACAGAAGAGGAAAGCGGAAUUCCACGUGUAGCGGUGAAAUGCGUAGAGAUGUGGAGGAACGCCAGUGGCGAAGGCGGCUUUCUGGUCUGUAACUGACGCUGAGGCGCGAAAGCGUGGGGAGCAAACAGGAUUAGAUACCCUGGUAGUCCACGCCGUAAACGAUGAGUGCUAAGUGUUAGGGGGGUUUCCGCCCCCCUUAGUGCUGCAGCUAACGCAUUAAGCACUCCGCCUGGGAGUACGGCCGCAAGGCUG
rnacentral:rRNA from 1 species